AUUAUUAAUGUGAAGUAUGGGCAUUCUAGGUAGUGGAGCACAUUUUAUUUUAUUAUUUUCUUAAGGAAAUUACGGAGUUUUCUAAAGGUACCUGAUCCCACCUAUGGUGUAUCCAGGGAUCCAUUGUUGCACUACUGUUGGUUUCGAAUUCUUUAUAAGAUUGUUAAUUUCAUUUAUCUUCAUGUAUUAGCUUACAAGUACAAUAAAUUACAAAUCAA